rnacentral:ncRNA from 1 species
GAUAUCUGGAUUGUGGCGGCCAAGUGUUCAUAGUUAUGUUGCUUUUUGAUCCUUGGAUGUCGGCUCUUCCUAUAAUUGUGAAGCAGAAUUCACCAAAAUCGAGUUCUUGAAAAGAUGUGUUUUUCA